rnacentral:rRNA from 1 species
UACGUAGGGGGCAAGCGUUGUCCGGAUUUAUUGGGCGUAAAGCGCGCGCAGGCGGUCUGCCAAGUUCGGAGUGACAGUUUCCGGCUUAACUGGGAAAGGUCUUCGAAAACUGGUGGACUUGAGAACUUGAGGGGGAGACGGAAUCCGGGUGGAGCGGUGAAAUGCGUAGAGAUCCGGAGGAACACCGAAAGCGAAGGCAGUCUCCUGGCAAGUUUGU